CAGCACUACAGACUGACACACUGUAGACCGACGGUCCUCUGAGGUGUCUUCAGUAAGAAUGACGUUUAAGAAACGAUCUAGGAAACCCUUGCGAAUCAUGACUCUGAUAGCGGCCUGCGUUGUGAUAGCUGGCUGAAGCCAUAAAGACUGACCAGGCAUGGCACGAAGCAGGAUUCAACACACUUGAUUUAACAUGUGGAUCCCUAGUACAAGUUGUUCCCCAUUUUCCUCAGUAGAAUUCUGGGUGCAUACACUGAGCAUUUGAAGAGCUCUCCAUUUUUCAAGUAAAAUAAAAAGGAAUAAAGACUGCAUUAGCAAAGUCAUCUUGUUCCACUUAUUUAGAUCCCCCAUUACGUGUAAAUAUCGCAAAACAACUGGUAUACAAAUAAAAUGGAUUCCUGUUGGUUUAGACAUUUGCUCUUUUGUUGUUGUUUUUUUAAAUAAAAAACACAAAAUACUGUAAUCUUUUAACAAAAACAAAAAGAAUAUUUAGAUAUGGUUUAUUUCAUGAGUCUCUUGUGACACAGAGGGUUUAUAUAAAACAACAACAACAAAAUCAUGAUACUUCUAGAAACACUAAAUAUGAGUAUUGUACCAUAUUAUGGCUUCUUAGUUAAAAUUUUAAAAAUCAGUA